CCUACGGGUGGCAGCAGUGGGGGAUAUUGGACAAUGGGGGAAACCCUGAUCCAGCGACGCCGCGUGAGUGAAGAAGUAUUUAGGUAUGUAAAGCUCUGUCAGCAGGGGAGAAAGAAAUGACGGUACCUGACCAAGAAGCCCCGGCUAACUACGUGCCAGCAGCCGCGGUAAUACGUAGGGGGCAAGCGUUAUCCGGAAUUACUGGGUGAAAGGGGAGCGUAGACGGUGAUGCAAGUCUGGAGGGAAAGGCGGGGGCUCAACCCCCGGACUGCUCUGGAAACUGUGUAACUUGAGUGCAGUAGAGGUAAGCGGAAUUCCUAGUGUAGCGGUGAAAUGCGUAGAUAUUAGGAAGAACACCAGUGGCGAAGGCAGCUUACUGGACUGUAACUGACGUUGAGGCUCGAAAGCGUGGGUAGCAAACAGGAUUAGAUACCCCAGUAGUC
rnacentral:rRNA from 1 species